rnacentral:tRNA from 1 species
GCCCUCGUAGCUCAGUGGUAGAGCGCAUCCUUGGUAAGGAUGAGGUCAUGAGUUCAAGCCUGAUCGGGGGCU